CGCGUAGGCGGACCUUCAAGUCGGGUGUGAAAUCUGUUGGCUUAACUGACAGCCUGCAUUCGAUACUGUUGGUCUUGAGUACAGGAGAGGAGAGUGGAAUUCCAGGUGUAGCGGUGAAAUGCGUAGAUAUCUGGAAGAACACCAGUAGCGAAGGCGGCUCUCUGGACUGAUACUGACGCUAAAGCGCGAAGACUUGGGGAGCAAACAGGAUUAGAUACCCUGGUAGUC
rnacentral:rRNA from 1 species